UGUCAUCAUGGGCCGCCGCCCCGUCCGGUGUUGCCAGUAUUGUAAGAACAAGCCAUACCCAAAGUCUCGUUUCUGCCGUGGUGUCCCUGAUGCUAAGAUCUGCAUCUUUGAUUUGGGACGGAAGAAAGCGAAAGUUGAUGAAUUCCCACUCUGUGGCCACAUGGUGUCAGAUGAAUAUGAGCAGCUCUCUUCAGAAGCACUGGAGGCUGCCCGUAUUUGUGCCAACAAAUACAUGGUAAAGAGUUGUGGCAAGGAUGGCUUUCGUAUCCGAGUGAGGCUCCACCCUUUCCAUGUCAUCCGUAUCAACAAGAUGUUGUCUUAUGCUGGGGCUGACAGGCUCUAGACAGGGAUGCGUGGUGCCUUUGGGAAGCCCCAGGGCAUAGUGGCCAGGUCAUCAUGUCCAUCCGAACCAAGUGGCAGAAUAAGGAACAUGUGAUUGAGGCUCUGUGCAGAGCCAAGUUCAAGUUCCCUGGCCACCAGAAGAUCCAUAUCUCAAAGAAGUGGGGCUUCACCAAGUUUAAUGCAGAUGAAUUUGAAGACAUGGUUGCUGAGAAGCGGCUCAUUCCUGAUGGCUGUGGUGUCAAAUAUAUCCCCAGUCGCGGUCCUCUGGACAAGUGGAGAGCCCUGCAUUCCUGAAGGCUUCAAUAGUUC